AGUGCAAGGGCUCUUCCUCCCCAGAGCCUAGGCACACGGCGACCCCCGUCACCCCCCGACGGGGGUCGCCUCAU
rfam:Arsenicicoccus sp. oral taxon 190, complete genome.